rnacentral:lncRNA from 1 species
UCACAUGCUACAAAAUUUGGAUUCAACUGUACAUUCUUAUGAUUAAAUUACAGAUGUUCCCACUUGGAGACCUCGACGUGAACAAUCCUUUUUUCAAACUUAAGCGUUAAGAGUGUCCUGUUCCUAUACUAGCUGGCAAAUUUAAGAGCACAAGCAUUUGUCAUGGAGACGCAUUGUAUGUUGCGACAAAUAUCGACGGGGGAAAAAGGGCGUGGCCUUUUGCUGGUGCUGCUGAAUGGGGGCACGGCUCAUAAUGUCUUUAGCCUCAACGACCCCACUGCUAGUGCUGCUAAUCAAAUCAAUACCAAUCCGACGGACGGUUGCCUGUCAUUAUCUCGGCCAGAUGAGCCAAAGCUUCAAGGAAUUGUAUGCAGGUCAAAAAAUGUACACAAAAUUAAGUGGUCAGCACUGUAUUGCUAGAGCAAUUUGGUUUCCAACUUGUACUAAUUAUGUACCUCAGACGAUAUUAAUUACACACGUCAUGUUUUCUGACUACAAAGAGGCGAGUACAUAUACAUGGCUGCUUUCCUUGACACUCAUUAGUUUCUGGUUCGGCAAAACAAACUAGGGACUCCAAAGGGUCCCCUGAAUUUGGUGGUACCAAACUACGUACGUACACAAAAUUGUGCCACAUAUUUGUAACUAAGAUUGGUACAAUUAAUUAAUAACAUGUUUGCUUCACUAAUUAAGAGGCUCGUGUAGUUUCACCAACAUUCUUCAAUGUCGGAUGAUAAGUAAUAAAGUUAUAUGAACAAUUAUUUC